rnacentral:rRNA from 1 species
GCCAGUAGCCAUAUCACUCUGCAACUCACAACUGGCAGCCCACUGAAGCUAAGGAGAUGUGAGCCUGGUCAGUACUUGGAUGGAGACCUCCUGGGAAAAACUAAGGUUGCUGCUGGUG